rnacentral:lncRNA from 1 species
GUCCCCUAAAUGGUUCCCACAUAUUCCCUUAUGUACUUCUCUAAGGUGUAAUCAACUUCGGAAGGGUGUAAACAUCUAAGAAGUGGCAAAGAAAAGGACCUCUUAUACAGUUUGCCUUCAUAAAGGAUAUAAUGGGGUGCUUGAUGUCUAAUUUUUCGAGCCUUCUUUAGAUCCGACGGCAACAUCUCAUCACAUAGAAAGUGAACGAAGCAGUUUAUCUAGCUUGACUUACUGUCAAUUUGCA